rnacentral:rRNA from 1 species
GUCAAUUUUCUACGUGCUAUACAUGCAAGUAGAACGCUGAAGAGAGGAGCUUGCUCCUUCUUGGAUGAGUUGCGAACGGGUGAGUAACGCGUAGGUAACCUGCCUUGUAGCGGGGGAUAACUAUUGGAAACGAUAGCUAAUACCGCAUAACAAUGGAUGACACAUGUCAUUUAUUUGAAAGGGGCAAUUGCUCCACUACAAGAUGGACCUGCGUUGUAUUAGCUAGUAGGUGAGGUAAUGGCUCACCUAGGCGACGAUACAUAGCCGACCUGAGAGGGUGAUCGGCCACACUGGGACUGAGACACGGCCCAGACUCCUACGGGAGGCAGCAGUAGGGAAUCUUCGGCAAUGGGGGCAACCCUGACCGAGCAACGCCGCGUGAGUGAAGAAGGUUUUCGGAUCGUAAAGCUCUGUUGUAAGUCAAGAACGGGUGUGAGAGUGGAAAGUUCACACUGUGACGGUAGCUUACCAGAAAGGGACGGCUAACUACGUGCCAGCAGCCGCGGUAAUACGUAGGUCCCGAGCGUUGUCCGGAUUUAUUGGGCGUAAAGCGAGCGCAGGCGGUUUGAUAAGUCUGAAGUUAAAGGCUGUGGCUCAACCAUAGUUCGCUUUGGAAACUGUCAAACUUGAGUGCAGAAGGGGAGAGUGGAAUUCCAUGUGUAGCGGUGAAAUGCGUAGAUAUAUGGAGGAACACCGGUGGCGAAAGCGGCUCUCUGGUCUGUAACUGACGCUGAGGCUCGAAAGCGUGGGGAGCGAACAGGAUUAGAUACCCUGGUAGUCCACGCCGUAAACGAUGAGUGCUAGGUGUUGGAUCCUUUCCGGGAUUCAGUGCCGAAGCUAACGCAUUAAGCACUCCGCCUGGGGAGUACGACCGCAAGGUUGAAACUCAAAGGAAUUGACGGGGGCCCGCACAAGCGGUGGAGCAUGUGGUUUAAUUCGAAGCAACGCGAAGAACCUUACCAGGUCUUGACAUCCCGAUGCUAUUUCUAGAGAUAGAAAGUUACUUCGGUACAUCGGUGACAGGUGGUGCAUGGUUGUCGUCAGCUCGUGUCGUGAGAUGUUGGGUUAAGUCCCGCAACGAGCCGCACCCCUAUUGUUAGUGGC